rnacentral:rRNA from 1 species
AGAAUUUGAUCUUGGUUCAGGACGAACGCUGGCGGCGUGCCUAACACAUGCAAGUCGAACGGAGUUAAUGAUUUCGGUUGUUAACUUAGUGGCGAACGGGUGAGUAACGCGUGAACAACCUGACCCAAAGAGGGGGAUAACAUUUGGAAACAGAUGCUAAUACCGCAUAAGACCACAACGUCACAUGGCGAAGGGGUCAAAGGAGCAAUCCGCUUUGGGAGGGGUUCGCGUCCCAUUAGGUAGAUGGCGGGGUAACGGCCCACCAUGCCAACGAUGGGUAGCCGAGCUGAGAGGCUGAUCGGCCACACUGGAACUGAGACACGGUCCAGACUCCUACGGGAGGCAGCAGUGGGGAAUAUUGGGCAAUGGGCGCAAAGCCCGACCCAGCAACGCCGCGUGAGGGAAGAAGGUUUUCGGAUUGUAAACCUCUGUCGCAGAAGACGAAGGAAGUGACGGUAUUCUGUGAGGAAGCCCCGGCUAACUACGUGCCAGCAGCGGC